rnacentral:rRNA from 1 species
GAAUCGCGAUAAGUAAUGUGAAUUGCAGAUUUUCCGUGAAUCAUCGAAUCUUUGAACGCACCUUGCGCUCCUCGGUAUUCCGAGGAGCAUGCCUGUUUGAGUGUCAUCGAAAUCUCAAAUCCCGGUCCGGGGGUUUGGACUUUGGGAGUCUGCCGGCGACCCGACCUCGGGACGUCGGCUCUCCUCAAAUGCAUUAGCGGUGGGCGCGAGCCUUUGCACGGCACGGCCUGUUUUCGACGUCGUAGUGAUCGUCGCGGGCUGGAAGUGCUCGGAUCGACAUGUCUCAUGCUUCCAAGCUAGUAUAAAUGAUUAAGGCUUGACCUCAAAUCAGGCAGGACUACCCGCUGAACUUAA